rnacentral:misc_RNA from 1 species
GUUUCAACUCUCAAAGUUAAUUUUUCUUUUUCUUUUCUGCAAAAUGGAAUAGGGAUAACGGCGGUAUUUCGAUUAUCCGGCACAACAACGGGGAAUUCCCCUGUGAUGGAGAGAUUAUAUUAUGGAACAAUGAUUCAAUGCAGAUUAGGUUCUGGACUUGGAAUUGAAGAUGCAAAUGGCUAUAUAUGAUUUUUUAAGUGACAGAGAAAAUGGUGGGUUAUAUCAGGUUUUGUAAUUUUUUUUUAUAUGUAUAUUCAUUCUGUGUGGUGUUUGUCGUAAUGAUUUUUUUUUUGGUUGUUAUUUUGUGCUCUGAUUUCUUUUACUUGGCUUAUAGUACAGAAUUCAACCUAGCUUCAGUUAACAUAGUAAACAGGGAAUAUAAAUGGAAAGAAGAUUAGUUUUCAAUUCAUCAAUACGCUUGUAUCCUGGUUGGCAUGGAGCUUCAGCCAAUUAGUUGUUCAGUUUCAAAGAUUUCCAUUGACAUUUGAAAGAUGUGGAAUGUGUUAAAUUAGCAGGAAGGACUUUUCCUUUUCAUGUUAAAUUUGAAGUGGACUAUGUUUUAACUCGAUGAAGGAUUUAGAUGUUGUGUAGAUGGUUUGGUUUCCGAUUGGUGGAGUGUUUAGUCAAAUGACUGCUUUGGUUAUAGACCUUUUGUGGUGGUAAUUUAUGGUAUUGAUGAUUAAUUUAACUUGGUUAUUUAUCUCGUUGGUGUUAACUAAUGAAUGAUGAUACAUAUAUAGUUGUUCAUAGUGAUAAUUCCCAUUUAUUUUGAUGACUAUGUUGACUUCAGAUAUGGAACAAAAACCUAGAAUUGCCAACUGCAAGUGCAAAAGAUUGAAUCUUGAAAGCUGAUUUUCUCUUUGAGACAUUUGAAGGUUAGACUACAUCUGAAUCACCCUCCCAGGACUAUUGUUUGAGGGAUCAGCUUGAUGAUGGCUUUUAUAAAACACAUGCAAAAAUAAAGUUGCUAGCUAAAAUAUUGAUGCAACAAGUGAAAUAUAAAUAAGGAUUUGAUCAGUUAUUAAUAAAUGUUGAGAGGCAUGUAGCAUGAAGAUUGGACUCAUUAAAUUUACCAGAGUGCAAAAUAUGGUAGGCAUUUUGGUGUUUUUGUGGAGCGGGAGUUAGCAUUAAACAUAUGAACAUAAACCCGCAUACAUGUGUAAUGCAUCUGCAAUGGAUCCUGAGCCUGCAUGGAAUUGCAUAGAUUGUUGGCUUGUGUGAAACACGUGCUGUAUGCAUUGGAUAAAGGAAGUGAAGGAGAAACAUUUUUGUUCCUAAUUCCUACUAAAUUGUGUUAGUUGGGGAUUUGGAGUCAAACUUGCAACUACAUUGGACAGAUAGCACAGAAUUUUAUGUGAUACAGUAAUGACUCUUAGGCAAAUUAAUUAAGGCUUCAUUUGAUUAACUUGUUAAGGAGUUGCUUUUUCGCUUUUUGCUAUUAUACAAGAAAAUUAAAAAAGAAGAAGAAGCAAGCUAACCAAAUGGAGAUGUAAACUUCAAAGAUGUCAAGAAUAGAUGUACAAGUAUUUAAGAGUAAACGAUAGUAAUCAUGCAUUAAAAAAAUGACCCUUAGGAAGAAGUUUUGAACUUGAAGUGUAUCACAGUGCCAUACUAGUAGAUUUUUUUAUUUACAUAUAUAAUUUUGUUGAGACUUGAGAUACUUAUAAUUUUACAAGCAUGCAUGCUCAGCUGAAUGCACCCAAACCCCACAUAAAUUAUUGAUGUGGGGGUAUCAUAUGCACUACUCACAUCAAAGUAGUAAAGUGGAUCUACAUUUAGAUCAUUCGUAAAUUUGCAAAAGUGGAACUUUAAAUGAAAUUGAUGCAAAGAUCAUUUGGAAUUUUUAUUUAUGUUUAGUUUCCAAAAAAUGUCAAGUGAAAACCAGUACUAAUUGAGUUGUGUGCUAGCUAAGUAGCAUUUUAGUUGGUCAAUUGCAUAAUAUAUUAGUUGCAUACUUAUGGUGAUGACUUUACGUUGCAAAAUUCUAUGUUUUGAGUUAUGUCAAUUUCCAUCAAUGAUCUCUACAUGCUCAAUGUGUUGAAUAGUUUUUUCUUCCCUUUAAAAUCACAUUUCCCAUAAAAUUAUUGGUAACUGCUCUUCUUUCCCCUUCCUUUGUAAUCCUUAUGAUGCUAUUUAUUUUUGUGACUACCGUAUAUAUGUAUAUAUGGUACAUUAAGCUAGCUAUUCUUUUUUUUUAUUUAUGUUUUUUUCCAAUGGCAAUAGCUUGUGGUCUACUCUUAUCAAAUUAUGCUUCUUUUGCUUUUAUGAGUAUUUGUUGCUCAUUUUAGAGGAGAAGCUCAUUUUAAAUGAAAUCCCUUAAUCAAACUCAUGUCUCAUGGUCAGAGCUUCCCCCCACUGGUAUAUAUUUUCCAACUGCUUAUUCUGAGAGGUUAUGCUGUUUCAAUGAAAGAAUGUCAAAGCUCUAUGAUCAAGAACUAUGUUAUUCUUACUCUACUUUGUUGAUAGAGAGAGAAAAAAUUUUGUGUGUAAAAUAGUAGUUAUGUAAAUGAAUUUUCAGAAUAGUACAAAUUCUAGCCUUCUACAAUCUGUGAUCCAGUUUUCUGACUGAAGGACCAUUUCCACUGUUUGUCUUAAUAGCAUAUUUAUAGAUUUUGCUUGAUUUAGAGUUUUACUCAUAUCGGCCUCAGAUUGAUUGACUGCUUGAUUAGAUUUCUAUUGUGCGUUGUAUUGUUGUUGUAUCUAAAUGAAGAUCCCCUUACUUGAAUAAGCUAUUAUUUUUGUUUGAUUGUUUAUGCAGGACAAAUGCAUACAUGUGCAUGUAAUGAUAGUAUACUUUAUUCUUUGAUGUGCUGCUAACUUGAUAUUGAUGCACCUUCAAAAUCUAGCCAAUUUAUUUUGCUAUAUAUUUUGCAUUUGAAAAGGAGAAAUACUUGUAAUAUAAUUUAAGUUAGUUUCUGUAACUUGGUUUCCAUAAUUUUGAUGGG